rnacentral:tRNA from 1 species
CUUAGCUCAAUGGUAGAGCAAUCGCUUUUUAAGCGAUAGGUUACAGGUUCGAGCCCUGUCGGUA